UACGUAGGGUGCAAGCGUUGUCCGGAAUUAUUGGGCGUAAAGAGCUCGUAGGCGGUCUGUCGCGUCUGCUGAUGAAAACCUAGGGCUUGAACUCUGGGCGUGGCAGUGGGUACGGGCAGCUAGGAGUGCGGUAGGGGAGACUGGAAUCCUGGUGUAGCGGUGAAAUGCGCAGAUAUCAGGAGGAACACCGGUGGCGAAGGCGGGUCUCUGGGCCGUAACUGACGCUGAGGAGCGAAAGCGUGGGGAGCGAACAGG
rnacentral:rRNA from 1 species